rnacentral:lncRNA from 1 species
UUGCUGCAGCUGGUUGGCUUGCUGGGAGUUUUUCCCAGCACCAAGCUCAGACUUCAUCAUACCUUUUAAGAACAGCUAUAUAUCACUAUUACGUCAAGACCAUAAUCAAUCAUGAAUGCUCCCUAGUUAUUACAUGUGGGAUCUCUAACCCACAGAGGGUUUCCAUAUCUAUCUACAUCUUGAAGACUCAUCUGGGAUUUGAUUCCAGUUUGCUUGUCUUAUCAUCAAAUGAAGUCAGACCUCCAUCUGGAUUAUCCUAUGAACUGGCAGAAAUCCAUUGGAGAAAGGUCUUAGAAGUCUCCAGUACAUUGAAACUUGGGAAAUUGAGUUCCUAAGGAGCUAAGGAAAAUGAUCUUGCUGAUUGACUCAGUUAACCCAAACUCACACAGUGCCAGAUUGGCCCAUACAUCACCAUACUUCAUAAACUUUCUUCCUAGCCAAUUCUUCCUCUGC